rnacentral:rRNA from 1 species
CCUACGGGAGGCAGCAGUGGGGAAUAUUGCACAAUGGGGGAAACCCUGAUGCAGCGACGCCGCGUGAGUGAAGAAGUAUUUCGGUAUGUAAAGCUCUAACAGCAGGGAAGAAGAAAGACGGUACCUGACGAAGAAGCACCGGCUAACUACGUGCCAGCAGCCGCGGUAAUAUGUAGGGGGCAAGCGUUAUCCGGAUUUACUGGGUGUAAAGGGAGCGUAGACGGCUGUGCAAGUCUGAAGUGAAAGCCCAGGGCUCAACCCUGGGACUGCUUUUGAAACUGUGGAGCUAGAGUGCUGGAGAGGUAAGUGGAAUUCCUAGUGUAGCGGUCAAAUGCGUAGAUAUUAGGAGGACCACCAGUGGCGAAGGCGGCUUACUGGACAGUACCUGACGUUGAGGCUCGAAAGCGUGGGGAGCAAACAGGAUUAGAUACCCCUGUAGUC